rnacentral:rRNA from 1 species
GAUGAACGCUGGCGGCGUGCUUAACACAUGCAAGUCGAACGGAAAGGCUCCUGCUUGCCGGGGUAUUCGAGUGGCGAACGGGUGAGUAACACGUGGGUGAUCUGCCCUGCACUUCGGGGUAAGCCUGGGAAACUGGGUCUAAUACCGGAUAGGACAACAUUUUGGAUGGUGUGGUGGAAAGUUUUUCGGUGUGGGAUGAGCUCGCGGCCUAUCAGCUUGUUGGUGGGUAAUGGCCUACCAAGGCGUCGACGGGUAGCCGGCCUGAGAGGGUGUACGGCCACAUUGGGACUGAGAUACGGCCCAGACUGCUACGGGAGGCAGCAGUGGGGAAUAUUGCACAAUGGGCGCGAGCGUGAUGCAGCGACGCCGCGUGGGGGAUGACGGCCUUCGGGUUGUAAACUCCUUUCGCUAGGGACGAAGCGCAAGUGACGGUACCUGGAGAAGAAGCACCGGCUAACUACGUG